rnacentral:rRNA from 1 species
CUGCGAGUGAAGAGGGAAAAGCUCAAAUUUAAAAUCUGGCAGCUUCGCUGUCCGAGUUGUAAUUUAGAGAAGUGUUACCCGUGCUGGACCGUGUACAAGUCUCCUGGAACGGAGCGUCAUAGAGGGUGAGAAUCCCGUCUUUGACACGGACUCCCAGUGCAUUGUGGUACGCUCUCAAAGAGUCGUGUUGUUUGGGAAUGCAGCACUAAAUGGGUGGUAAAUUCCAUCUAAAGCUAAAUAUUGGCGAGAGACCGAUAGCAAACAAGUACCGUGAGGGAAAGAUGAAAAGAACUUUGGAAAGAGAGUUAAACAGUACGUGAAAUUGUUGAAAGGGAAACGCUUAAAGUCCAGUCGCGUUGGUUGGAAAUCAGUCUUGCUUCUGCUUGAUGUACUUUCUAACCGACGGGUCAGCAUCAGUUUUGACCGUUGGAUAAAGGUUGGAGGAAUGUGGCAUCUUCGGGUGUGUUAUAGCCUUCGAUUGUAUACAACGGUUGGGACUGAGGAACUCAGCACGCCGCAAGGCCGGGUCUCGUACCACGUUCGUGCUUAGGAUGCUGGCAUAAUGGCUUUAAUCGACCCGUCUUGA